rnacentral:rRNA from 1 species
GAUGAACGCUGGCGGCGUGCCUAAUACAUGCAAGUCGAGCGAACAGACGAGGAGCUUGCUCCUCUGACGUUAGCGGCGGACGGGUGAGUAACACGUGGAUAACCUACCUAUAAGACUGGGAUAACUUCGGGAAACCGGAGCUAAUACCGGAUAAUAUAUUGAACCGCAUGGUUCAAUAGUGAAAGACGGUUUUGCUGUCACUUAUAGAUGGAUCCGCGCCGCAUUAGCUAGUUGGUAAGGUAACGGCUUACCAAGGCGACGAUGCGUAGCCGACCUGAGAGGGUGAUCGGCCACACUGGAACUGAGACACGGUCCAGACUCCUACGGGAGGCAGCAGUAGGGAAUCUUCCGCAAAGGGCGAAAGCCUGACGGAGCAACGCCGCGUGAGUGAUGAAGGUCUUCGGAUCGUAAAACUCUGUUAUUAGGGAAGAACAAAUGUGUAAGUAACUAUGCACGUCUUGACGGUACCUAAUCAGAAAGCCUCGGCUAACUACGUG